rnacentral:tmRNA from 1 species
GGGGGUGACCGGUAUUGACGGGGUGAUUGAUUGGCAUGUAAGCAUGUAGUGCAUUGGACAGUUGGCACUAUAAUCUCAAUUUCCAAAACUAUAGUUGGCGAAACUCAAUUCGCAAUGGCUGCUUAAUCAGGAAGAUUAAGUAAGCUUUCGGUUCGGGAGUGUUUAUCUUAUCGCAUUUCCACCAGAACCGUCAUCAGAUAGGGUCUGUUGUGUGUAUGCCACUGGCACAUAAACAGUACACAAGGGGAUAUAGGUUUGGUUGGUAAGCAUGGCAACCUGCCUAACCUGAAUAUAAUGUUGUGCUAAACGUGUAGAAAGCAUGACCAUUGCGCUUCCGGACCAGGGUUCGAAUCCCUGCACCUCCACUG